GACGAACGCUGGCGGCGUGCCUAAUACAUGCAAGUCGAACGCAGUGGGGACGGGUGAGUAACACGUUGGUAACCUCCCAUCAGAGGGGAUAACACUUGGAAACAGGUGCUAAACCGAUACUGAUGGAUGGACCCUGGGGGCAUUAGCUAGUUGGUGAGGUAACGGCUCACCAAGGCCACGAUGCAUCGCCGGCCUGAGAGGGUGAUCGGCCACACUGGGACUGAGACACGGCCCAGACUCCUAAGGGAGGCAGCAGUAGGGAAUCUGCGGCAAUGGACGGAAGUCUGACCGAGCAACGCCGCGUAUGUGAAGAAGGUUUUGGGAUCGUAAAGCUCUGUUGUUAGAGAAGCGGUAUCUAACCAGGAAGCAACGGCUAACUACGUGACAGCAGCCGCGGUAAUAC
rnacentral:rRNA from 1 species